rnacentral:rRNA from 1 species
GAUAGUUGAUCCUGGCUCAGGAUGAACGCUAGCGGCAGGCUUAAUACAUGCAAGUCGAGGGGCAGCACAGGGUAGCAAUACCUGGGUGGCGACCGGCAAACGGGUGCGGAACACGUACAGAACCUACCUUUCGAGCGGGGGAUAGCCCAGAGAAAUUUGGAUUAAUACCCCAUAGUAUAUUUGGAUGGCAUCAUUUGAAUAUUAAAGAUUUAUCACUUGAAGAUGGCUGUGCGUAUGAUUAGGUAGUUGGCGGGGUAACGGCCCACCAAGCCUACGAUCAUUAACUGGUGUGAGAGCACGACCAGUCACACGGGCACUGAGACACGGGCCCGACUCCUACGGGAGGCAGCAGUAAGGAAUAUUGGUCAAUGGACGCAAGUCUGAACCAGCCAUGCCGCGUGGAGGAUGAAGGUCCUCUGGAUUGUAAACUUCUUUUAUCUGGGACGAAAAAAGGGAAUUCUUUCUCGUCUGACGGUACCAGAUGAAUAAGCACCGGCUAACUCCGUGCCAGCAGCCGCGGUAAUACGGAGGGUGCAAGCGUUAUCCGGAUUCACUGGGUUUAAAGGGUGCGUAGGCGGGUAUGUAAGUCCGUGGUGAAAUCUCCGAGCUUAACUCGGAAACUGCCAUGGGUACUGCGUAUCUUGAAUGUUGUGGAGGUGAGCGGAAUAUGUCAUGUAGCGGUGAAAUGCUUAGAUAUGACAUAGAACACCAAUUGCGAAGGCAGCUCACUACGCAAAUAUUGACGCUGAGGCACGAAAGCGUGGGGAUCAAACAGGAUUAGAUACCCUGGUAGUCCACGCCCUAAACGAUGAUUACUCGACAUACGCGAUACACAGUGUGUGUCUGAGCGAAAGCAUAAGUAUCC